UUGAGAGUUUGAUCCUGGCUCAGAACGAACGCUGGCGGCAGGCUUAACACAUGCAAGUCGAACGCACUCUUCGGAGUGAGUGGCAGACGGGUGAGUAACGCGUGGGAAUCUACCCAUCCCUACGGAAUAGCUCCGGGAAACUGGAAUUAAUACCGUAUACGCCCUUCGGGGGAAAGAUUUAUCGCUAAGAGAUGGACCCGCGUUGGAUUAGAUAGUUGGUGAGGUAACGGCUCACCAAGUCAGCGAUCCAUAGCUGGUUUGAGAGGAUGAUCAGCCACACUGGGACUGAGACACGGCCCAGACUCCUACGGGAGGCAGCAGUGGGGAAUAUUGGACAAUGGGCGCAAGCCUGAUCCAGCCAUGCCGCGUGUGUGAAGAAGGCCUUUUGGUUGUAAAGCACUUUAAGCGAGGAGGAGGC
rnacentral:rRNA from 1 species